rnacentral:pre_miRNA from 1 species
CACUCAGGGGAGGGUCCCUCAGCCUGGAUUGUGAGAGGGCGCAGGCCAGGCUGAGGGACCCCACCGGUGCACA